rfam:Sphaeroforma arctica JP610 cont1.21526, whole genome shotgun sequence.
AAGAGAGUAGUUAAAUGGUAUAACUUUUGAUUCCAAAUCAAAGAUUGAGGGUUCGAUUCCUUCCUUUCUUG